rnacentral:lncRNA from 1 species
CUCCCGCGGCGCCGACUGGAGCUCCAGAGCCCCUCCCGUCUCUACCUGCUCGAGCUCCCGAAGUCGCCGCGCCUUAACGCGCCGUGUCGGGGCCGCAGGCGCCACUAGGGAAGCCCAGCUCCCCGCUGGAAGGACGCUCCGGACACUGCGAAUGAAUGACGACAACGCGGCUCACUUGGAGCGGGUCCGGGUUUGUGCGGACUCGGUACCACCGCGGGCUCCGCGCGCCGAGCUGAGCAGCUGUGGCUGGCUUCGGGGGAACCUUCGGGGGAAGCUCCUGGGGACCGUGUGCCAAGCACUGGGCCCGACGCCCAUCCCAGCAGGGAGGACGCCGCCAGCCUGCGUGGGUGCGUGUGUGCUGUUUGUGUUUAAGGUUGACGCUCUAUGGUCUAGCGCCACCCCUUUUCCCAGGAAAAGUGUUUCAAGGUUCCAGACCUGGAGCUCGGUUAGAGACCCGGGGUCGGAAGCCAACGCAGCCAAUGGUCUUCGAUGUUUUUGUUUCCUGCAUCCCCAGGGCAAGUCAUGCGCUAAACUUGUCACCGCUUGUGACCCCUCCCCCUCUCCAUUCCAUUGUAAUUAAAGUGGCCUAGCUAAGUGCAUUACAUCACUUCUUUCCUUGACCUGUAGGGCGUGAGCAAUAGAGAAGUUGGAAGCGGCCCAAAAGCUUAGACCAACUAAUUCACACCACAGCUGUUCCUAUAUCGCAUUUGGGGCUUCGAAAACUGGGCAUGGCAGAAUUUUAAAAUUUAUCCACUCUUGGUAGAUGGAUUUUUUUUUUUAAUCAGUGAAACCAGAAACACACAAACCAGGGCAGCUUUAUCCCUAGACAGUUUCAGUUUCCCCAAAUACUUCGAGCUUCCAGUGGUGAUCACAGCCCAUCUGCCUACAUAUCUGAUGACCAUUUUUUUUUCCUCCCGCCCAGGAGAUCUGGAGGAUAGUUCAGCCAAAAAAAAAAAAAAAAAAAAAAAGGUUCCUCUUCCCAAAUGAUGGGAAUUUAGCAGACUCUGCUUUGUUGUGGAUGCUGGGCAAUCCUAGGGACUUUUCCCUUUCCAAAUGAGCAAAGAUUCAAAUGAAACCUUCUUGUGUGGGCUUCAAAAUUGUGACUUUUGUAGCUCCGACUUGAAUUGUUGAAUUCCUUCAAUUAGUCGAAUGAGCAAAUCACCAGCCAUUCUAAUGAGACUGCCAUUUCAUCUGUUCGCUUCCUACCGCUUGGGCUCUCAAGGAAUGGAAGUUUCCCUUGAUGUUACCACACAGACUGAUCUGCCUCUUCCAGGCAUCAGUGGAAACCUCAUGUAUUUAACACAGACUCAAAAAACUCAUUUGGCACUUUUGGUCACAGUGCAGUGCCUUCAGUCACAAAAUCUGCAAAUAAAAAGCAAACAAUAAGA